rnacentral:rRNA from 1 species
CGGUGCUGGAAGGUUAAGGGGAUCUGUUAGAGCAAUCGAAGCAGUGAACUUAAGCCCCAGUAAACGGCGGCCGUAACUAUAACGGUCCUACGGUAGCGAAAUUCCUUGUCGGGUAAGUUCCGACCCGCACGACAGGCGUAACGAUUUGGGCCCUGUCUCAACAACAGACCCGGUGAAAUUGUAAUUCCGGUGAAGAUGCCGGAUGCCUGCCACAGGCCGGAAAGACCCCAUGGGGCUUUACUGUAGCUUGACAUUGGGUCUUGGUACUACAUGUACAGGAUAGGU